rnacentral:misc_RNA from 1 species
UCUCCGUAGGUGAACCUGCGGAGGGAUCAUUACAGAGUUCAUGCCCUAACGGGUAGACCUCCCACCCUAUGUUAUCAUCACUUUGUUGCUUUGGCGGGCCGUCAGGCCUCGGCUUGGCUACCGGCUCUCGCUGGUAAGCGCCCGCCAGAGAACCCCAAACCCUGAAUAUCAGUGUCGUCUGAGUACUAUAUAAUAGUUAAAACUUUCAACAACGGAUCUCUUGGUUCUG